GGGGAGCGGGCGCCUGGGAAGGGGACGUGUCGUGAAACGCACAAGCACACUUACCCCCGCCUCCUCCAACUCCAGCAAGAGAACUGCCGCCCAGCCCCAAGAGGGGGAGCCACUCCAACACCCCCACCGCAAGCAAGGUCACCACAAGGAGUUUCUGCAAAGGCCCAGUACCAUCCAGAACAAGCCUGCAAACCCGACGCCCCGGGGAAGAAAGCCGGGACAAGGGACUCACAUCGGGGACAGAGGUAAUGGAAAGAGAUCGUGACCACUUGACGACUUUCUUCCUGUACUAGUUCAGCCCAAGCUUCCAAAAAUAAGUAAAUAUU